AACAUAUUGUAGUGUGCGUGUGAUGAUUGUAUUAAUUAAGCAGAUAUGUGUCAUUUAACACGGCAAUCGAGUACAAUAUCCCAAAAGGUAACGAUAAUAUAAAGCGAUACUUGAAGUAUGCAGCUUACAAGAGCUUAGCGUAAAUUGUGCCAUUGUAAUGUAUCUUACAAUCGAGAAUUUAUUUAAUCACACGUAACUUUGGUUUAUUAGUAAUAAUCUACUAGCCUUUCCUGCCUGGACAUUACUACGCGAGGUAAAGGACUGUCGGGGAACAUUUUAAAUAUAACGACAACUGUUUAACUGCAAGAGUGUGCAAAUAGUACAUAUGACGUUACAGGUGAAAAGCAGUAAUCAUCUAAAGUUUGUGUGAAUAUUCAAAGCCUGUACCAAGCUUAAAAUAUUAUUUCUUUCUUGUCACACUACAAGCUACGUUAUUAACAUUGUUUUUGACAUUUCAUUUUUAAUCCUAUAGGAUGCGGAGACAAAGUUUUUUAUACUGAUAUAAAAAUACUAUGUUUUUGUUAAACAGCUGCAAUAUUUGUAAAUACCAAAUAACGACAUGAUUAAAAUGUUCAUUUUUUCUUUUGAGUAA